UGGGGAAUUUUGGACAAUGGGGGCAACCCUGAUCCAGCGAUGCCGCGUGAGUGAAGAAGGCCUGCGGGUUGUAAAGCUCUUUCAGUGGGGAGGAAGGCCCCGAAGUGAAUACCUUCGGGGAUUGACGUUACCCGCAAAAGAAGCACCGGCUAACUCUGUGCCAGCAGCCGCGGUAAUACAGAGGGUGCGAGCGUUAAUCGGAAUUACUGGGCGUAAAGGGCGUGUAGGUGGUUAUGUAAGUUUGAUGUGAAAGCCCCGGGCUUAACCUGGGAACUGCGUUGAAAACUGCAAGACUAGAGUUGGACAGAGGGUGGUGGAAUUUCCGGUGUAGCGGUGAAAUGCGUAGAGAUCGGAAAGAACAUCCGUGGCGAAGGCGGCCACCUGGGUCCAAACUGACACUGAGGCGCGAAAGCGUGGGGAGCAAACAGGAUUAGAUACCCCCGUAGUCC
rnacentral:rRNA from 1 species